rnacentral:lncRNA from 1 species
CGAUACUCAUUUAAAAAGGUUUCUACCUUGAGAGUAUUAAUACUCCGUGAAAUUGUUUGUGACCUAGUUCUGACAUUCUUGAACACCGUAAGGUGACCUAUAAUUGUUCAUUUCUGUGUCAAUCGGUCUUUUGUAGCGAUAUUGGUCUCAUUGACAAUCAUACGACAUCUUCUUUAUAUAGAUCUGAGCAUUAAUGAAGUUCAGCUACUAAUUGUUUUUUUCGAUCCAUAGAUGAGAAUGGAACACACUUACGAGUCUUAAACUUAACCUUGAACUUUGAGGUAGCUAAAAAAAUGAAAAAGGGCAGCUUUACGUAUUUGGUUAUCAGGAAGUUGAUAAGUGAUGGAUGUAUAUAAGGCUCACAUAAAACACCAUUAAAAAUUUCGAAGACCUUGAUGUGUGAUUUCUGGGAAGAAUGCAACAAAAAACAAAAAAAAGAAACAUUAUUAUUAAAAGAAUUAACCAGAAGAAACAAAAG